CCUUCGAUAACUCAGUUGGUAGAGUGGAGGACUGUAGAUCCUUAGGUCGCUGGUUCAAAUCCGGCUCGAAGGA
rnacentral:tRNA from 1 species